UUCCAGUACGCGGUUGCCACUCGAGAGC
rnacentral:sRNA from 1 species